GCCGCCCCGUGCCAGCAUACAGGGUCGAGGUUCUCCACUCCUCUCCCUAUGACGCAGGCCGAGACCCCUCCCCUCCGGUCUCGGAUCUACAUUCUGCCCCAUCUCAUCAGUCUUGGCUCUGAUCUCCUUGCCCAGGACCACGCUGAACUCUUUUUGGCCUGGACCGGGCGGUCGUUCUCUACUUCUGCAAAUGAGGACCCUCCUUCUGGGUCCCCUGGUUCCUGAGAGGGGCAGGAAGGUCAGCACCCAGCCUCCUCCAGCAAGAAAAUGCCAUGGGGGAGGGGCCUACAAGGUCAGAGGAGCCAGGGACUGUGACUACAUGACUAGAGAGCUGACUACAUAAGAACCAACCCUGCCCUGUGUGACAAACGCCUAAGAGAACAGCUGACCUGCAGCCCCAAGUACAAACCUCACUGUGCACUGUGUCUAAAGGUUCCAACUGGAGAGGAUCAGUUGUAUCAGAUCAGGGUACUGGCCCUAGCUCUGGUAUGUGACAGGGCUGGACUUAAGGACCCUGGGUAGCCUCUUCCCCUGCAGGAGUUCAUGACAAAUCAAAGGCCUCUGGCAGCACCUGUUUUGUGGUGAUUCCAAGCCCCCAGCCCCAUAAAGCAGCCUGUUUUGGUUAGGCAGGCCAACAACACACAUUUGCUGUAGGCUGUACAGUUAAACCGUCUUUAUUUCUUUUGGUUAAAAACAAUGGAUUUCAACCUGG